GAUGAACGCUGGCGGCGUGCCUAAUACAUGCCAGUAGAACGCUGAAGGAGGAGCUUGCUCUUCUGGAUGAGUUGCGAACGGGUGAGUAACGCGUAGGUAACCUGCCUGUUAGCGGGGGAUAACUAUUGGAAACGAUAGCUAAUACCGCAUGACAACAGUUAUUGCAUGAUAACUGUUUAAAAGGGGCAACUGCUCCACUACCAGAUGGACCUGCGUUGUAUUAGCUAGUUGGUGAGGUAACGGCUCACCAAGGCGACGAUACAUAGCCGACCUGGGAGGGUGAUCGGCCGCACUGGGACUGAGACACGGCCCAGACUCCUACGGGAGGCAGCAGUAGGGAAUCUUCGGCAAUGGACGGAAGUCUGACCGGGCAACGCCGCGUGAGUGAAGAAGGUUUUCGGAUCGUAAAGAUCUGUUGUAAGAGAAGAAAGAGUGUGAGAGUGGAAAGUUCACACUGUGACGGUAUCUUACCAGAAAGGGACGGCUAACUACGUG
rnacentral:rRNA from 1 species